CCUACGGGAGGCAGCAGUAGGGAAUAUUGCUCAAUGGGGGAAACCCUGAAGCAGCAACGCCGCGUGGAGGAUGAAGGUUUUCUGAUUGUAAACUCCUUUUGUUAGGGAAGAUAAUGACGGUAUCUAACGAAUAAGCACCGUCUAACUCCGUGCCAGCCGCCGCGGUAAUACGGAGGGAGCAAGCGUUACUCGGAAUCACUGGGUGUAAAGAGCGCGUAGGCGGGUUAGCAAGUCAGAUGUGAAAUCCUAUGGCUUAACCAUAGAACUGCAUUUGAAACUGUUAUUCUAGAGUAUGGGAGAGGUAGGUGGAAUUCGUGGUGUAGGGGUGAAAUGCGUAGAGAUCAAGAAGAACACUGAGUGCGAAGGCGACCUGCUAGAACAUAACUGACGCUGAUGCGCGAAAGCGUGGGGAGCGAACAGGAUUAGAUACCCUUGUAGUC
rnacentral:rRNA from 1 species